AGAGAGCCUCGGCUAGAUGUGGAAAUAGCAAGAGAACUAGAAUUGGAAGUACAGUGUUGAAGAUGUGACUGAAUUGCUGCAAUCUCAUGAUCAAAUUUGAAUGGAUAAGGAGUUGCUUCUUAGGGAUGAGCAAAGAAAGUGGUUUUUUGAGAUGGAAUCUACUGGUGAAGUUGCUGUGAAUAUUGUCAAAAUGACCAUAAAGGAUUUAGGUUGCUCCUUGCGGGCAGGACAGUUCUUAUGGCUUUAUCCGUUGCCUAAGCACAGAGAGGUCUGCGAGAUCAAAACUAUUGUCAUGAUAGCAAGAUGCCUGCCUUUUUCAUUUAUUCUGACGGUGUACAGAGGCUGCAUGAUGUGUGAUGACAUCCUCAUUGAUGUUAAUGAAUGGUGCUGUACUUGAAAUUUCUAAGGUGUUGUUAGGUUUAGGUAUGUAUACUUGUUUUUAGAAAUUGUUUUUUUCCCCUUUUCCCAUUUUUAGAAAUCAACUCACUUUUUAGGUUAUGCCUUCAGUAAUCUUUGCAACCUCAAUAUUCUACAAUUGUUAUUUUAAAAUACUGUAGUUUUCUUUGUGCCUAAGCAUAAACAUAAGUACAUUUUGUUGUUUGUUUUGUUUGCAAUAGUGGUUUAAAUAUUUUCCCAGAAUAUCCAAAUUUAAAAAUUUUACAACUUUAGAAUAACUUUAUUCUAAAAUAUUUAUAUUUUUCUCAUUUAAGAAGGGAUCGAUGGCUUAAAAAGACUGCUUCUCAUUUACUUAUCGGCUAUACCAUCUGUAUACUAAUAAAAAACAAGAUUGAUUUGGAAGGACUGACUCAAACUAAUGAAAAUAUGAAACCUGUCAUUCUACUUUGGAGAUACUUACCUUAUCAUGUCUGCAGUAGAAUAAUUUAGUUCUUUUGUCUUUUUUUGGAGAUGAGGUCUUGCUGUGUUGCCCAGGCUGUUCACAGGUACCAUCAUAGUCUACAGCCUGAAACUUCUGGGUUCAAGCGAUAUUCCUGCCUCAGCCUCCUGAAUAGCUGGAGCUAUAGGCAUGUACCACCAAGUCUGGGCUUUAAAAAAUAUUUUUUACAUAAUUUUUUUUGAGACAGGAUCUUGCCAUGUUGGGCUAGUCUUCAACUCCUAGCCCUGAGUGAUCCUGCCUCCCAAAAUGUCGAGUUGUUAAGCGUGAGCCGCCAUACCCGGCCAAAAAUUUUUUUAGAGAUGGGAAUGGAAUGAUUCUGAAUAGUGUUGGUGCCACCUAUGUUGUGGCAUCAUUUUGAAACUAAUCAUUCAGAGUGUUGUUUUUUUUUUUUUUUUUGGUAAGGUAUUAUUUUUUAAUGCAGGUAUGCCACUACUAUAAAAAAAAAAAAGUUUUAAAGCUAGAAAUGAAAACACUACUUAAGUAUCUGUUACUUUGUUAUACUCUAGAAACAUACACAAUAGCUGAGAAACUUUAAAAAUCUCACAUUGCUGAAUGUCUCUGCUGGCUGAAGUGUAAGUAAAAGAUCACAGUAGUGCCACUGUUGAGUGGUACAGCAACUUGUCAUUAAAGAUGUGUGU
rnacentral:lncRNA from 1 species